rnacentral:rRNA from 1 species
UACGUAGGGUGCAAGCGUUGUCCGGAAUUAUUGGGCGUAAAGAGCUCGUAGGCGGCUUGUCGCGUCGACUGUGAAAACCCGUGGCUCAACUGCGGGCCUGCAGUCGAUACGGGCAGGCUAGAGUUCGGUAGGGGAGACUGGAAUUCCUGGUGUAGCGGUGAAAUGCGCAGAUAUCAGGAGGAACACCGGUGGCGAAGGCGGGUCUCUGGGCCGAUACUGACGCUGAGGAGCGAAAGCGUGGGGAGCGAACAGG